UGGGGAAUAUUGCACAAUGGGCGCAAGCCUGAUGCAGCCAUGCCGCGUGUGUGAAGAAGGCCUUCGGUUGUAAAGCACUUUCAGCGAGGAGGAAGGUGGUGAGCUUAAUACGCUCAUCAAUUGACGUUACUCGCAGAAGAAGCACCGGCUAACUCCGUGCCAGCAGCCGCGGUAAUACGGAGGGUGCAAGCGUUAAUCGGAAUUACUGGGCGUAAAAGCGCACGCAGGCGGUUUGUUAAGUCAGAUGUGAAAUCCCCGGGCUCAACCUGGGAACUGCAUUUGAAACUGGCAAGCUAGAGUCUCGUAGAGGGGGUAGAAUUCCAGGUGUAGCGGUGAAAUGCGUAGAGAUCUGGAGGAAUACCGGUGGCGAAGGCGGCCCCCUGGACGAAAGACUGACGCUCAGGUGCGAAAGCGUGGGGAGCAAAACAGGAUUAGAUACCCUGGUAGUCCACGCUGUAAAACGAUGUCGAAUUUUGGAGGUUGUGCCCUUGAGGCGUGGCUUCCGGAGCUAACGCGUUAAAUCGACCGCCUGGGGAGUACGGCCG
rnacentral:rRNA from 1 species